rnacentral:rRNA from 1 species
UCCGCAAUGGGCGAAAGCCUGACGGAGCGACGCCGCGUGCGGGAUGAAGGCCUUCGGGUUGUAAACCGCUGUCAGUUGGGAGGAAAUCUGUGGGGGUUCUCCCCCAUAGUUGACCUAUCUUCAGAGGAAGGACGGGCUGAGUUCGUGCCAGCAGCCGCGGUAAGACGAACCGUCCAAACGUUAUUCGGAAUCACUGGGCUUAAAGGGUGCGUAGGCAGAUAGGCAAGUUGGGUGUGAAAUCCCUCGGCUCAACCGAGGAACUGCGCUCAAAACUGCCAAGCUAGAGGAAGAUAGAGGUGAGCGGAACUAAUGGUGGAGCGGUGAAAUGCGUUGAUAUCAUUAGGAACACCUGUGGCGAAAGCGGCUCACUGGGUCUUUUCUGACGCUGAGGCACGAAAGCUAGGGUAGCGAACGGGAUUAGAUACCCCGGUAGUCCUAGCUGUAAACGAUGAGCACUAGGUUGGAGGCUCCUCCAUUGGUUUCCGACCGAAGCGAAAGUGUUAAGUAUUCCGCCUGGGGAGUAUGGUCGCAAGGCUGAAACUCAAAGGAA